UACGAAGGGGGCUAGCGUUGUUCGGAAUUACUGGGCGUAAAGGGCGCGUAGGCGGUGUGUCAAGUCAGGCGUGAAAGCCCCGGGCUCAACCUGGGAACCGCGCUUGAGACUGGCACGCUCGAGUUCGGGAGAGGAUGGUGGAAUUCCCAGUGUAGAGGUGAAAUUCGUAGAUAUUGGGAAGAACACCGGAUGGCGAAGGCAGCCAUCUGGACCGACACUGACGCUGAGGCGCGAAAGCGUGGGGAGCAAACAGGG
rnacentral:rRNA from 1 species